AAACUUCCCUGGCAGAGGAGAUACCGUGAUCACAAAGGUGGUUUUCCCAGGGCUACACUCCCCCAUUGCACCCCGGAUGUGCUGACCCCUGCGAUUUCUCCAAAUGUGAGAAAUUCGACUGCAUAAGGUGUGGUCGCGGGGGACUGCAUUCGCACUCUCCCCUG